UUCGUUUUCGUUUUCUCUUUCUGCCUUUCAUGGGUUAUAAAUAGGUCUUUGCUUUCUCUCGGCUGCGUGGGCUGUGAUUGGCCGGCGUGGUGUUUCAGGCCGUUCUGCGGCUUUUAUUCGGUGUAUCGGGUCGGCCUCGCUUCGAUCGUUCAAUCUAGAGGCGUCGCCGCGGACGGCAGAGGCAUGAUCCUGGUCGGACCCUUCGUCUUCAACGUCGGGGACGUGGGUGAGGAAGACGUCAGUGCCGUGGACGGUGGUGGUGUGUGUGGUCUGGAUCGGACCAGUGGCGGUCAGGCACGAAGUCCGGCAUGGCGGAGUCGGAGAUGUCGACGAAGACCCCCAGGAGCGGGGCCGGGUGGAAGUCCGGCGGAACGAGGGGACGAGCGGACGGCUCGGAGCGCGCCGUUCUGUAUCUGUUCUUGAUGUUCUUGCUCACUCGCUGUCGUUGCCUGCCCAUCUCUUUCCUAUCUCAUAUUUUUUUUUCUUUCUUUUUCAUGCUGCAGUUCGUGGUACCCUACUGCUGCAGGGGAGCCGUGGAAAGACUGGAAGCCGUCCGGGACAUCAACAACAGGCCGAUGGGUGUGCGGUCAGUGGGCUGCACAAGGACUAGUGAUCUCCCAGGAUGCCGCUGCAGAGCGGGGUUUUGUCGCCGCCAUCAGGGCCUGUACUGGGCAAGAGUCCUGUCGAGCCGAUGCCGCUCCUGCUCUGCAGAGCGAGAACUUGCAUCGCCGUCCCCACCCAUCAAGGCUCCCUCCAGCAUGUCUCUCGCCGUUCGAGCGGGAGUGGCGCCAGUGCCACCGUCCAGUAUCUACGAUGAAGGGCCAGCAACCACCACCACGGCGGAGCCGGCUACGUAGUUCAAGCUGCUCCACCGAGAAAAACCGUCGCCGGGGAGCUACUUCGCGUUGCCAUCUCCAGGCCCCACCUGCAUCCUUUGCUGCCCACGGACACCCGCGCACCUCCCUCACGACCUGACGGAACAAGCGCCUCCAUGUGCUGGCGUUCCUCUCGCACGCUGCCAUGUUGCUACUAUCUUCCUCCCAGGCACGUAUAAUGAAAGUUCAUCUCCUUCCUUCAAUUCCUGUGAUAUUGUAUUCUGUGCGUUCGUGUCUUAUGGGGAAAAAAAUCUCGUACGACCGGGUCGCACGAGGCCAAAACGGGAGACCACCUCGAGCGCAUGACAUCUGGCGUACGAAUCUCAACGCAGCGCUCGCCUGGCUUCCAGCCCAGCCCACCCCACAUCCGUUUCCCACGCCCCACGCCCCGUCCUUUCAGCUUCUAUUCUGUUUCAUCUUCCCAAACGAAAAAACCCAUCUCCAUCUCUUCCAUCUCGCCGGCGACGGCGUGCCAAGAUGGCGCAACCCGACGAGGGCAACGAGGCACUGGAUCGGGAGACCACCUCUCUGCCCACGGCUACUCCAAUCUGGCAAUUUCCGACGACUGAGACUAAUGGCCAGCCCUCGAUGAGCAGCACACCGGCGGCCUUUGCUCCAGAAUCCUCUCUGCCCACAGCUACUCCGACCAUGCAAUUGCCAAGAACUGAGACUAAUGGCCAGCCGAGAAUGAGCAACACCAGUGAAUAAUCAAGACAUACAAGAUGCAGAUAAUGCUCCAAGAGUUGGGAAGUGCUUUCAGUCUGAGGAAGAGGCGUACCAAUUUUACAAUUCUUAUGCUCAAACCAAGGGAUUUAGCAUUAGAAAGUGCCACUUGAAGUUUAGAGCAGAUGGGACUUUAAGUUCCAGAUAUUUUGUUUGUAGCAAGGCAGGUGUGAAAAAUGCUAAUCCAACACAUGUGGCCAAGAAAGAACAAGCUAUUUCGAGGACUAAUUGUAUGGCUCGAGUUCAAUUCAGCAUCAAUCAAGAGGGAAUUUGGACUGCUCAGAAAGUUACGCUCGACCACAAUCACCAGCUUGUAAGUCCAGAUAAGAGGCACAUGCUUAGAUCGCAGCGUCAACUCUUAGAUGACGAUCGCCACAUGAUUAAGCAAAUGAGGACAUCGGGAAUUAAACAAGCCGAAAUAUAUGAUUUUUGCGAGCUUUGGUACGGUAAAGAUGCUAUACCCUUCUUGCAAAUGGAUUGCAACAAUUAUUUGUGAAGUGAGCGCUCAAAGUAUUUGGAAACCAAAGAUGCACAAACAUUAAUGGAGUAUCUAAAGAACAAGCAAGCUGAGGACCCUUCGUUUUUCUAUGCCAUGCAGUUAGAUGAUGAUGAUGGUACAAUAAUGAACAUCUUUUGGACUGAUGGACAAGCUAUCAUGGACUAUUCUGUCUUUGGAGAUGCCCUUUCCUUUGACGCCACAUUUUCAACAAAUAAGUUUCAAAUGUCAUUUGCACCGUUUAUUGGUGUUAAUCAUCACAAGCAGACUAUUCUUUUUGGUGCAGCACUACUAUCUAAUGAAUCUGCAGAUACCUUUGAGUGGGUUUUUAGAACCUUUCUACAAGCUAUGUCUGGUAAGCAGCCUGAAACAAUAUUCACCGAUCAAUGUGCCGCCAUUAUAAAUGCUAUUGGAAGGGUUUUCCCAAGAACACGACAUCGUCUUUGUUUAUGGCAUUUGUAUCAAAAUGCUGCAAAACAUCUAAGUCAAGUAAUCAGCGACAAUGAUAAUUUUCUUAAAGAAUUCAAAAGGUGUGUGUAUGAAGAUAGAUCACUAGCACAUUUUGAGAAUAGAUGGCAUGAGCUAUUGCUUAAGUAUCAGAUUGAGGAUAAUUCUUGGAUAAGC